UACGUAGGGGCCUAGCGUUGUCCGGAAUUAUUGGGCGUAAAGAGCUCGUAGGCGGUUCGGCAAGUCGGAUGUGAAAUCUCCACGCUUAACGUGGAGGGGCCAUUCGAAACUGCUGUGACUCGAGUCCGGUAGGGGAGUGUGGAAUUCCCGGUGUAGCGGUGAAAUGCGCAGAUAUCGGGAGGAACACCGGUGGCGAAGGCGGGUCUCUGGGCCGAUACUGACGCUGAGGAGCGAAAGCGUGGAGAGCGAACAGG
rnacentral:rRNA from 1 species